GAGAUUUUUAGCUGAAGCUUUUUACUCAGGUUCAGUUGUCUGAUUUUGUUUGCAUUAGUUUAGCUGCAUUGGGAGGUAUCAAUCGAUCACGACUCCGCGGCUGAUUGAUAGUGUGAUGCAUGGGUCUCAAGAUCAUUUAUCAUUCCAGAGCGGAUCGCAAAUGAAGAGGCUGAAUGCAAAUGCUGGUGUGGAAACUCCGAAGCACGAGGCUACAGCGAGUGGAGGGACUCAAGCCAGUUGAAGGGUACAGCUCUCCCCACCAUCAAGAAAACCUACAAAUGGUGGCGUCUCACGAAAGCAGCAUCCAUUAUCUGAGAAUCCCACCAUCCAAGCCAUGACCUCUUCUUGAUGUUUCCAGCAGGUGAGAGCUACAGGACUCUAAAGACCACAUCUCAGUGUUCAACAACAGCAUCUUCUCCACUGCCAUCAGGUUCUUGAACCAACCUGAGCAACCUUAUCACGAUUUUGGACUACAGUCUAUUUCCUUUUCUCUCUCUCCCCCUCCACCUAUAUUGCUCUGUUCUCUUUUGUUCUUCUGCACAUUUAUCUAUAAUUUAGGUUAAUUAAAUUUAUGCUAACUUAUCUUGUAACGUACUGUGCUGUUUUUGCGCAGAGCUAGUUUUCUUGGUGUUCAUACCCUGUUGUACAUGUGCCUAUGACAACAAUAAGCUUGUACUUGACCUGUACAGAGGUGGACAGAAUAACAAAUAAGAAACUUCUGCCCAACCACCAUGUGUGGUUAUGUCAAGAAGCCCAUGUAUAGCAGGUAUCCAAAUGAUUGGAUCCAUCUGUGUGAAGCAAAGCACAGCUGAUUUGUGAAUUGUGCAUUAAAACACACAACUUCUGCUGUGUUUGGUUUAGUACCGGGUUUUAUCCAAGAGGUUGCUGCCAGAGUAAAUUUGAGUGUAUGGUCCCAAGAAAAAUCACUUUUUGUUUCUUUGAUCACCUAUAAUCAAUUCAUAAAAAUACCUGUCAUACAUAUUUAAAUAAAACUGACAGAGAUACAGUUUUCAAAGAUUUUUACAUUUUAUUUAUUAUUCUGUCACUUGUACAAUGACAAAGACAGAAGGCAGCUCUGCUUUUGUGCUGAGUGACCACUUCUCUUCAAAGUCAUUCAGCUCAUUGUGGUAAAGAGUGAAAUCUGUUGUACAAUGAUUGGAAACAAUCCACCAGUUCUACAGGUUUUCUGACUGUCCUCGUUUUAAAUCCAGGUAGUCCUCAAAGCUGUUUGUCCGUUCCCAGCUGUCCAACCAUCCUCCAAUAGCAUUCCCUGAUGCCUACUCAUCCUCCAAUGGCAUUCUAAGCUGUAUAACCCUCCUCCAAUGAUGUUCCUAACUGCCCAAACAUCCUCCAAUGGUAUUGCUAGCUGCCUAACCACCCCACAGUAGUAUUUCCAGCUUUCCAACACAAUCAAGUGGUGUUUCUAGCCAUCGAAUUGCCAUUCAAUGACGUUUCGAGCAGUUCAAAAAUCUUCCAAUGGUGUUCCUUGCAGUCCAACUAUUCUUCAGUGAUGUUACUGGCCACCUCACAUAGUGUUUCCGGCUCGCCAACCAAAAUAUAAUGAUGUUUUAGCCAUCCAGUCACCAUUCCCAGAUGUUCCACCAUCUUUCAAUGGCAUUCCUAGUGGUUCAAACAGCCCCCAAUGACAUUCCUAGCUGCCCAACCAUCCUUAAAUGACAGUCCCAGCCAUCCAAGCACCUUUCAAUGGUGUUCCCAGCUGCUUAUCCAUCCUCCAAUGCUGUGCCCAGUUUCCCAACCAUCACUCAAUGCUGUUCCUUGCAGUCCAACUAUCUACAGUAGUGUUUCCAACUCCCCAACACACUUCUAAUGGUGUUUCUAGCCAUUGGACCAUCCUCCAAAAGUGUUCCUAGUGUGCAAACAUCUCACAGUACUGUUUCCAGCUGUCCAACCAUCCCCCAAUGAUAUUCCUAGCUGCCCAACCAACUUUCAAUGCUUUUUCAAAUGUCUAACCAUCUCCAGUGCUGUCCCCGGUUGUUCAGCUACCCCCCAGUGGUGUUCCUAACUCUAGCACAGUGCUCCAUUGUGCUCUAAGAUGUCAAUAGUUCUCACCCAGUAAUGGAGCACGUGAACCAUUCUUGUAGUACUUGCAGAGUUCCAAUCUAUAUCUCCAAUAACAGCAGUCUAUGAUAUUCCAAAUAGCCUGACGUGUCUCCAGACAUUCAUUGUGUGGUCCAGCAGUCCUUUGAUGGCAUUUCAACCAUUCACUAGACUUCUAAUUGUACUCCAAAAAUAACAAUGAAUCCAUAAAUUAAAUAGUAUUUAAAAGUUCAGCAGUGACAUAAUUGGCCCAGUAAUACCCCAAUUAACAUCAUAAGUAAACAGAUCAAGAAAUCAAAAAAUACAUCUUGCCAUAUAAUCUUGUAGCUGGCUUUUGAUGAUUUCAAGGAGUACAAUUGUACCAGCGAUAACUGAAUGAUGUUAACAGACCAACAAAUGAGGGACUUUAAAAGCAGUUCUUACAGUUCAAGAAUGUCUUUCAUUGUGUUAAUUAUCCAAUAACUCCAAACAAUAUCUAUUAACCUACCAGUGAUUUGCAAGCAACUAACCGAUGCUUUAAACAGUCUAACAGUCUUCCGGUGAUUGUCCACUCCAACACUGUGCUCUAACCCAAGCAUCCUGAGGCUUAUAUCAACUAGUGAUGAAGUAAAGGUUCAUUCAUCCUGCUCUCCCUGAGGUCAAAGAAGGGUGUGGUAAAAUUAACAGUAGUAAGAUUACUUAAUGGGAUGCUAAGAGGAUAAAAUUAUUUUUUGUUUCUGAUUAUACUGUGGGAUUUAUCAAUAUUCAUCCAUUAUGGAUGAUGUGACAAUCUGUACUCCAACAGAAAGAAUGGACAUACUUUGACACUCUUCAUAAACUAGUAACGGCAGGAGAUAAAAUAAAACCAAUUGAUUUUGGAGAUUUCCUAAAGGUUGAUGCACAUACCAAUCAGCUGUGUGAAGAGGAUUUAUGAAAAUGUUGUUGGGACCUGAGGUAUAGGGAAAGGCUGGGCAGGAUAGGACUUUAUUCUUUGAGUAGUAGGAAAUGAAGGGGUGAGCUUAUAGAGAGGUGUAUAGAAGUCUUGAGGGGCAUAGGUUGGGUUAAUGCACACAGCCCUUUUCCCAGGGAAAGGGAAGCAAAAACUAGAAUGUGGAUAUGGAAUGGGUUGAUAGAGGAAGUUGUUGAGUUGGGUACAAUAACAACAGUUAAAGGUCAUUUGGCAUGGUACAUGGAUUGGAAAGAUUUAGAGUGAAAUGGGCCAAACAUGCAGAAAUGGGCACAAACAUUAGAUGGGCAUUUUGACUGGCAUGGACGAGUUGGGCUGAAGGGCCUGUUUCCUUGCUGUACAACUCUUCAAAUGCAGCAGGUUCAGCAGAGUUGCUGGUCUAUUAUUUUAAAUUGUCGCACAAUUUAUUUAUUUAGCCCAAAGGAAAAAUGAAUGAA